AUUGACAUAUGCAACCGUGCAUCUCACCAAAUCUCUACCAUUCAUAUAUAAUUUUAUAUAUGGAAAGGAUGAUCUCUUAUUCCCUUGUCCCAGAGACCCAGACGCCCCAGACCUUUUCUUCUUCUAUUUGUUCUACUGAGAAUCCGCAAACAACCAGACUCAGUACUCAAAUAAGUGAACAACCAAACUCAAUACUUCCAGUCUUUGAUUCGAGUCCGACAUCAUCGACUCCUUUAGUUUUCCAUAUCUGCUGUUCUGCAACUCAGCCUUGGAUUGAUCAUUGAUGUAUCUUAAAGUUGUGAAAGAUUAAAGAUGGAGAGAUUCUUUAAACGAACAUCAAAUGAGUUAUCAGGGGCCCUCACAGAGAGUGAAAGAUCAAAACAGAGUCGGGUAGAAAUUGAUUUGGCUAAUCUUCCUUCUGAUCCUGGAGAAAGAACUAAAAUUUCAGAUUAUCAUCCCGAUAUUAGGGAUCAAAUUAGAAGAGAGUAUCUGCUAAGAGGUCCUUGUCGGCCUAGAAAUCAUCAGUUUGUCCAAACACAGUGCGGAGAAGGGAAACGAAGGUUUGUCUCUGAUUGGUUUAAUGACUUCCCUGAUUGGUUAGAAUAUAGCGUAGCCAAAAAUGCUGCAUUUUGUUUGUGCUGCUAUCUCUUCAAAUCAAAUGUUGGUGAGCAAGGAGGAGGUGAUUGUUUUACUGGUAUUGGUUUUCAAAAUUGGAAGAAAAAAGAAAGAUUGCAUGAUCAUGUAGGGAAGCAGAAUAGUGUCCAUAAUCAAGCACUGCAAAAAUGUGAAGCUUUGAUGAAUGAAAAGCAGCAUAUUCGAAACAUUAUUGAUCAGAAUGUGCAUCAAUCCCGAAUAGAUUAUCGAGUUCGACUAGAAGCUUCAGUUGAACCUUUUCUGCUAUUGGACAUUGUUUUUCCAAGUUGAAGAGUUGAGCAUGAUAGUUUGUAAUGAAUGAGUCACAUGACAUUUGCUAGUAAACCCUGUUUCUUUGAUUGCAUUC